AGCUCCGAUAGCGUAUAUUAAAGUUGUUGCAGUUAAAAGCUCGUAGUUGAACUUCUGCAAGUUGAGGAUCCGUCCAUUUUGGUUCGUUUCCUUCUUGCAUCCCAUCAGAUUUAACAUCACGGUCUUUGUUGGUCGGUUGUAAAAUCUAUGAAUUUACUUUGAAAAAUUAGAGUGUUUCAAGCAGGCGAUUUGCUGGAAUACAUUAGCAUGGAAUAAUAGAACAGGACCUUUAUGUCAUUUUAUUGGUACUAUGACAAUAGGUAAUGAUUAACAGGGACAGUUGGGG
rnacentral:rRNA from 1 species